CAGACCCUGGGAUCUGGAAUGUAUAUCCUGAGUGUAUGCUGCCACUGCUCCUUAGCCACCUUCCCUGACGUUCUCUGGGAUGUAGGCAUUGCAUGCAGUUCACAUCGGAAGAUUCCACACUGCAACCCAGAAACCAAAAGGAGCCCAUUGCGAUCUGGCUCUGGGGGACCCUGGGAUGAUAUCCCUGCCCCUAGGGAUAGGAUGCAACCCCUGGGAACCUGGAGAGACUCUGUGCUCUGCAGGACUGAUGGGGGACUCCUCCCUGUAUGUACGUGUGUGUGGCCCUGCCUUGCUCUUGCCCCGGACUUGGCCUGGUGAAGGAGACACAAGGAAGAUUGCCGUCAGGGAUGCUCAGUCUGGGAGCUGACCCUCGGGUGAGGCCCUCAGGAAGUUACCGGACCUCCCUGAACCUCAGUGUUCUCAUCUGUCCAGCAGCAACCGUGGGCUUUAAGUGAGAACCUCUAUGUGGAGGCGGCAGGUCCCAAUCCAGUCCUCUGUAAAGUUGCCUCGCCUUUUCCCUUCUUCUCCUCUCACAGAGCUGAAGACUAUUUUGCAAAGUUCAUUGUAAAUAUUAAAAUAAUCUUGGGUGUUUAUCAUUCGUUAAAUCUGCUGAGCUGACUUUAGGUCUACUGCUCUCAAAAAAAAAAAAAAAAAAAAAAAGAAUAAAUGGCACAGGGAGCU